rnacentral:rRNA from 1 species
UACAGAGGGGGCAAGCGUUGUUCGGAAUUACUGGGCGUAAAGGGCGCGUAGGCGGCUUGUUGCGUCGACCGUGAAAACCCGUGGCUCAACUGCGGGCUUGCGGUCGAUACGGGCGGGCUAGAGUUCGGUAGGGGAGACUGGAAUUCCUGGUGUAGCAGUGAAAUGCGUAGAUAUCAAGUGGAACACCAGUGGCGAAGGCGAAUCCCUGGAAAAUACCUGACACUGAGGCACGAAAGCUAGGGGAGCAAACAGG